AGAUGAAGAUUGUGCCUGGAUCGUGCAAUCCGGAUACUGGUAUGAUGACAGUUGCGAAGAAAACCACCAUUACAUAUGUGAGAAAGCAAACAGUGACGCAGUUGUCAUAGGAUGAUACAUCUACCAUUGGAUUUUAACUAGCAAUUUUGAUGUACUUAAACAGAAAUAAAAUACAAUUCAUCA